rnacentral:rRNA from 1 species
AUUGAACGCUGGCGGCAGGCCUAACACAUGCAAGUCGAGCGAAAGAAGGGGGUUUGCUCCUGGAUUGGGGGGCGGCGGGGGGAGAAAUGCCUAGAAAUUUGCCUGGACUUGGGGGAAAAGGUCCGGAAACGGGCGCAAAUCCCGCAACCGUCCUGAGGGAGAAAGUGGGGGAUCUCGGGCCCUACCGCUUCCAGAUGAGCCUAGGUCGGAUUAGCUAGUUGGUGGGGUAAAGGCCUACCAAGGCGACGAUCCGAAACUGGUCUGAGAGGAUGACCAGUCACAUUGUCAGUGAGACAGGGUCCACACUCCGACGGGAGGCAGCAGUGGGGAAUAUUGGACGAGGGACGAGUGCCGGAUCCAGCAAUGCGGGGUGAGUGAAGAAGGUCUUCGGACUGGAGAGCACUGUAAGUUGGGAGGUAGGGAAGUUAGUUAAUACCUUACUGUAUUGACGUUACCGGCAGAAUAAGCACCGGCUAACUCCGUG